rnacentral:tRNA from 2 species
AGUUAAUAAACUUAAAAGUACAUAUUUUGAAAAUAUGAUUAAAGAAAAUAAAUUUUCUAUUAACUU